rnacentral:rRNA from 1 species
UACGGGGGGGGUAAGCGUUGUUCGGAAUUACUGGGCGUAAAGAGCGUGUAGGCGGCCAAACAGGUCCGUUGUGAAAACUGGAGGCUUAACCUCCAGACGUCGACGGAAACCGUAUGGCUAGAGUCCGGAAGAGGAGAGUGGAAUUCCUGGUGUAGCGGUGAAAUGCGCAGAUAUCAGGAAGAACACCAAUGGCGAAGGCAGCUCUCUGGGACGGUACUGACGCUGAGACGCGAAAGCGUGGGGAGCGAACAGG